GCUUCUAGAGACUCGUCUGAGCCUGAAGAGAGAGCGGACAACAGGGAAGAGUGUGUACCUGAUCAGCCGGAGCAGCAGGAUGACCUUCAGUAUGCCAGCGUUCACUUCUCUAACAACCGGGCAGAUCCUCUUUACUCCAACAUGAGAGCAGCUCAGCCCCUCAGACACACGGAGCAACAGGAAGUCCCGGAGUACGCUGCCGUCAAGUUCAGCAGUGCUGCCCCGAGGACCAGAGGUCAGGACUCUGAAGAGGAUCCAGCUGCAUUGUACAGCACGGUCAACAAAUCCAGAUAAACACAGCAGGCGUUGCUUUUGAAGGAUGAUACUUCUGUUUUUUUACAAUCACAUUUCUAUUUACACAGGGUAAUGUGGAUUUUUUAAAUACAUGUCUCAGGGUGGACCUCUCCAAGAAUGAGGCGAUGAGUUUUCAGCCUGGUUUUUAUUAAUCUGAAUGGCUCAAAUGUAAAGAUUUUGUUAAGUAUUGCACAGCUUCAUGUACUGAAUUGUAAAUAUUUCUUGUGUAACAUGAUUUUUGCCGCAAAAAAAUUAUAAAAUGUAGAGAUGUUGCAACAAGGGAUCUGAUCCCUAACUGCUGGCUUGUUGGAAAAUGUAGAUAUUACUAAAGAGUUAUAAUUUACUGAUAACAAACCCAUUUCCAUUGUUUUGUAAGUACAUUUAUCAACUUUAUUCAAAUUAUAUUUCUUUACAAUGUUCUUCUUCUUGUGUAGACUGAAAUAUCAACAACUACUUGUUGGAUUCCAAAUUCCAAAAUACAUGUUUUUGAAAAGCACAUUGGGAUAUCAGAGAGGAACAUGCGUUUGCUGAUGUAGUUGCAGUUUCAUUCUGCUGCCACUAGGUUUCAGUAAAGAGCCGUAUUUCACUGAUGGAAAACCAUUACCAAGAGCCUGUGAAGUAAAUGUCUCUUUGGUGUGUGUAUGGCCUUAAUGUUCACACAUUCUUAUUCAUCCAUAUUUGUUAUGUAAAAGUUCCAUUAUCACCAAUUGAAUUUGUAAAUGUCUUUGUUACUCUUUAAGUUUAUAACCAUCACAACUCAUUGCAAUUAUCUGUUUUGCUUUGUUGUUUGCACCUGUUAUUCUGACCCUUCUCUUUUGUUCUGUACUUCAUGUGUUUACUUUUUUCUCUUUCUGUUCUGUAUUGGUUUGAGUUAAUAAAUACAACAUUUGA